GGAGGGUGCAAGCGUUAAUCGGAAUUACUGGGCGUAAAGCGCACGCAGGCGGUCUGUCAAGUCGGAUGUGAAAUCCCCGGGCUUAACCUGGGAACUGCAUUCGAAACUGGCAGGCUAGAGUCUUGUAGAGGGGGGUAGAAUUCCAGGUGUAGCGGUGAAAUGCGUAGAGAUCUGGAGGAAUACCGGUGGCGAAGGCGGCCCCCUGGACAAAGACUGACGCUCAGGUGCGAAAGCGUGGGGAGCAAACAGGAUUAGAUACCCUGGUAGUCCACGCCGUAAACGAUGUCGACUUGGAGGUUGUUCCCUUGAGGAGUGGCUUCCGGAGCUAACGCGUUAAGUCGACCGCCUGGGGAGUACGGCCGCAAGGUUAAAACUCAAAUGAAUUGACGGGGGCCCGCACAAGCGGUGGAGCAUGUGGUUUAAUUCGAUGCAACGCGAAGAACCUUACCUACUCUUGACAUCCAGAGAACCUAGCAGAGAUGCUUUGGUGCCUUCGGGAACUCUGAGACAGGUGC
rnacentral:rRNA from 1 species